rnacentral:lncRNA from 1 species
CAUACUUCUUCAAGUCUAAUUUAGUCGUAUAUAUCUAUUUUCAUUAGGGUUAAUUUUAUACACAUCUCUGCAAAUAUAGUGAAUAAUAAAUAUAUUUCUAUAAAAUUCAACUUUCAUAUGUUGUUUUUAUAAAAAUCCUCAUGAUGUUUUCAAAUAUGUCCCUACCGUUAGAAUCCGUUAGAAAAAUUUAGUUAAUCAUAAGUUAAAUACUUUACCCUAAUUAAUUUUUGACAUUUUUACUCCAUUAUACUGUUAUGGUUUUUGCAGAGACAUAUUUAUGAUGUCAAAAUUGAAAAUUUAAACAGUUCUUUAACGAUAACAAACUAGAGGAAUAUAUUUGAGAAUAUUAAAACUUUUACAGAAACAACAUAUGAACAUUGAACUUUGUAGGAAUAUAUUUACUAUUCACUAUAUUUACAGUGAGCUAUAUAAAAUUAACCCUUUUCAUUAAUAUAUAUCACAAUAAGAUAAUUUCAUUAUAAGAACGCUAUUUUGAAAGAAGCGUCCAAUAUAGUAAACAUCAACACUUCAAAAAAAUGUCGUCAUAUUAACCGUCUAUCGUCCCAAACCAAUUUAUUGAAUGACAAAUUUCACUAUUAUUCUUAAUAUUUCAAUGCUUUAAAGCAUCGUGAUAUCAAAAACUCCUUAUGUUUUAAAACGUUGGAAUAUAUUUCACUAGCACUUGGCAUAAGUGUCGGUAUAUAUAUGUGAUAAUUUUUUAUUUGCCGACACCUUUAAAUAUGAUGACGGGCUAUUGUAAAACAUUUUUAAGUAUCGUUAAAUAUAUAAAUAAAAA